rnacentral:lncRNA from 10 species
UGCCAGUGUAUCAGUCAGAGGCAUUUCUGACAAACACGAUUAGGAGCAGGACAGGACGGCGGAAGGAGGGAGUGGGGCAAGUCAGGAAGCCGCUGGGAGUGUUUCACAAUAGCUCAGGCUAAGGUAAGUAAGGGCCCAGUCUAGAAAAGGGGUAAACAGAACAGGCAUGAGGGCAGUGAAAUCGUGAUGAAGACAGACUCCGUCGAGACCUUGUGAGAAGGAUGGCAGCAACAAAGAAAACAGGACAGCAGCUUGUCUUUGUUUUCCUGUGCCAGAGUCACUGUUAAAAACAUUUGAAAGCAAAUUUUCCAGCAACCAAUGAAUGGAAGCAAUCCAUGCUAAGAAGGACACCCGUGAAGCCCUGUAUGGUAAUGUUAUCAACAAACCAGAACACAGACAUCACAGGCUCCUCAUCACUGGACCUAAAAGUUACUCCCACAGGGAAAGACAAUGGAAGGCACUGGGCAAAUGCACCUUGGCUGCUAUGGUGAGACAAAAACUGUCCUUUCUGCACCUCUUUAAAAUAUGUCUAUAAAGUAUAAGCCAAUGAAAUACUUGUAACAUUCUGAAGCAUGACUUUUCUCAAUGCGAAAUAUCCAAGACAUGUUUCAGGCUCAGUGCCUUUCCCUUCCGUUUUCUUGGAAUACAGACAUGUCAGUAUGGUGUGUUGGUCAUGCUCUUUACGUCUUUGUUCAACUGUCACCUUCUCAGUCAGACCUUCCCUGGAAUGCUAUUUAAAACUGCAACCACCCAGCCAGGUGUGGUGGCUCACGCCUGUA